rnacentral:rRNA from 1 species
GACGAACGCUGGCGGCGUGCUUAACACAUGCAAGUCGAACGGACAGGCCCUGCUUUUGUUGCUCUCUCGAUUGGCGAACAGGUGAGUGACACGUGAGUAACCUCCCCUUGACUUACGGAUAUAUUCAGGAAACUGGGGCUCAUACCGGGUAUAAGCUCCUGAUCCAUGGUGGGGGUUGGAAAGUGUCGGCGGUUGGGGAUGGACUCGCGGGUUAUCCGCUUGUUGGUGGGGUAGGGGCUUACCAAGGCUGUGACGGGUAGCCGGCCUGAGAGGGUGACCGGCGACAUGGGUACUGAGAGACGGACCAGAAGGCUACGGGAGGCAGCAGUGGGGAGUAUGGCACAAUGGGGCGAAGUCAGAUGCAGAAACGCCGCGUGCGGGAUGACGGCUUUCGGGUUGUAAACCACUGUCGACUGUGACGAAGAGGGAGUGACGGUAAUGGGUAAAGAAGCACCGGCUAACUACGUG